AUUGAACGCUGGCGGCAGGCCUAACACAUGCAAGUCGAACGAGUGGCGGACGGGUGAGUACUGUCUGGGAAACUGCCUGAUGGAGGGGGAUAACUACUGGAAACGGUAGCUAAUACCGCAUACCAUCAGAUGUGCCCAGAUGGGAUUAGCUUGUUGGUGGGGUAACGGCUCACCAAGGCGACGAUCCCUAGCUGGUCUGAGAGGAUGACCAGCCACACUGGAACUGAGACACGGGCCAGACUAAUACGAGAGGCAGCAGGGGGGAAUAUUGCACAAGGGGAGCAAGCCUGAUGCCGCCAUGCCGCGUGUAUGAAGAAGGCCUUCGGGUUGUAAAGUACUGUCAGCGGGGAAGCGUUACCAGCAGAAGAAGCACAGGCUAAAUCCGUGCCAGCAGCCGCGGUAAUAC
rnacentral:rRNA from 1 species